UUUGAGCAUUUCCUAACACGAGCUCUGCAUUGCUGUCUUCUGCACGGCUGCCCUGAGGACGUGGCUGCUGCAGAGUGUACGGACCCAGUCACUAAUCUGCCGGCAAUAACGUCCAUAUGAGCAUUGCCUUCCAAAACUGUUGACUACCUUUGAAUGCUUAAGGUUUUGAAUGAUCAGGCCAAAUUAAUAAAGUAAAUCAACAUCCAGAAUGUGUAACCUUUGCAGUUUCUGCAGGACAUUAGGGGUUUGCCUGUUGUUCUCUAAACUUGUUGAAGAACUUCGAUUCUGACCAAGGCAAGAAAUGCUGUUGAUAGGUUGACAUGGAAUUCAUGUGGGGACCCCGCUCAGGUCACGUACGUCGUCAGCACCAAAAGCUGUCAUUCUCAGCAUCAGCAGAGAGACAGCUAUUUGAACAGGCAGAGCCAUCCUCCAUCCUAAAAGUGUGAGUUCACGCUGGGCAAGAAUCUGCUCCGAGCUUUUAUCUCCCCAUUAAUCCUCAUUCUAACGUGAAGGCGCGUUUGCUCAGAAGUGUGUUGACAGUUAAGGGGGGGUGGGGGAAUCUGUGCUUAAAAACUCCUGAAAGGAUUUAAUCUACAGAAAUGUACCCAGUCUUGCAUUACAAAUUUUUAAAUCCCGUUAAAUGUUUUAUUUUCCAUUAUCUAAGACCAGUUCACCACCCAAUUACCUCACCCCUGGAGUAUAAUUAAUGCAUUCUUGAAACGCAGCAGAGAUCCCACUUAACGCUGGGAUUCAUGGAUUAUGCACAUCAGACUGCUUAUAGUAAGAGUACCCCGGUAUCUCUGGCACCCCCUGUAUAAAGACAGGUUCAUGGGCUCUGCCUCCCCUGUCCCCUGCUCUGGUCCAUCAGCAGGAGUUUUCUCCUGGCAGGGGGCUGCGCCUUCGUCCCCGUCCCACGGGCCGCUCCUCCCAGUCUUGUGGCAACAAUCUGCAGGGAAAGGACUGAGCUGCCCCACCGCCGCCGCUCCAGCACGGAGCCAAAGCCUGUUUGUGGGCUGGGCUGGAUCUGCGGCGGAAGGAGCCACCUCUUCUGCCAAGGCUGUCAGCCUGCCCUCUCUGUAACAAGGCUCUGAGUAGUGUGUCAGUGUGACUUGGCAAUCGCCGGGCGUGCUUCAGGCAAACGAAAAUGCUAUUUCAGGCUUUUCUUGAAGCGCCUUUCCAAUAUUCUCACUGUCACAGCUUAUUGCAGAUGCUUCUUUUAAAGGCUAGCACAACAGCUUAAAAAGAGUCGGGGAAUGAAGUGAAAAAAACCAUAUUUUAUGUUUUUCUUAAUCUAAAAUUUCUUUCUCUGAGAAUUUAGAUUCGCAUUAGGCCUUUGCUCGGAUAGAAACUACUCCUGAGCCUCCCAUAAGCGAAGUGCGUUUGGCUGAGCCCGCUCACCAGGGUUCACACGCUUUUUCUUCCUGCAGCAGCAGGACUUCCCGAGCAAGCACAGACAGAUGAGGAGGGGAAUGGCAGACAAGGCAAAGCACCCUUUUCUUUCCCUGUGCGUUCCCAAGUCUGGUAAUUACCAGCUCUGUAAGACCACGAGUGAUCACAGGAUUCAGAAGAAUACAGAAGCCAACUCCUCUAUCAGGUGCCAGGAGGGGAAAAAAAACCCACGCCACACCAAAUGAAAUGGCUAAUUUGCCACGUCAGCCACAGCUCAUCGCAGGGGCCUGCUCAUCCAUCUGUUGCCAAUUUAUCGCUGAAGAGCAAAGCGUCAGCAUCUUGAGCAGCCGAGGGCAAGAGGCAGCAUUUCAUGCAAAUCGUAAGGUCUUUGAUACAGUGAUAACUACACAAGGAUUUCAUUAGCAAGGCCUGUCCUGUUUCCCUAAGGCUGGUCAUCAUAGCAGACUUGCUAAUAAAUCUGAUCUGAAAGUUAUGCAUCCGAAGCUAAAUUACCCUUCCCAACCUCCACAAGCUUUCUGCAAAACCCAGAUGAGGCUCUAACCGCUGUUCUCCUUUUUCAAGCUUGCCUCAGGGUUAGUAUCAUAAAAAUCACAUAGGAAGGUAGAGAAAAUACAUCUUCCUGGCAGGGUACAUGCUCUGGGUGAAAGUCAGUUAAUGCAGAGAUUAAAUUCAAAACUGAUGCAUGCAUGCUAAGUCUGGAUAAUGUGAUUUGCAAAAUGAUACCGUGCUUUUAACUCAGGCUCUGGUACCUUUUGGGUGCCUGCCUGCACUGGGAGAGGAGUCUCUUGUGGACCGCUGAGAUGCCAAAGCCCUUCUUUCCCCAACCACAGACUGUAUGUGGCCAUGUCAACAAAAGCUGGUAAAGCAUCUAUUUAUUUGAAACCAAGCUAGUAGGCUAUUAAAUUCACUGGUAUUUUGGGAAUGACAAUUGGUUACUAAUGUCUCUAAUACUUCCACUGCAGCUGGCAUUUAUAUGAAUAAAGAUAUAAAUCUAGCUCUGAAUUUAGCUCAUUUCAUGCUAUGAGCAAAAAAUGUGUUUGUGGGAACUUAGUAUGACAAUGUGCAUUCACAUUACGUGAUGUAUCAGUUAUGCGAGUACCCUGGGGAGGAAAAAUGUUUUAGGAUGCGUUUAAUGGGCAAACAUCUAAAGAUAAAGAGGUAAUAAUCUUUUCCAUCUUGCAAUACUUCAAUGAAGUGCGUUUGUAAGGUAGCAGAAGAAUAUGUAUCACAGAACUGUUCAAGUGUAAUAAUGGUGAACUUUGUUACAGGUGAAAUCUCUCUCAUUCAAGUAUGAAAUUGCUGAUUUGCAGAAGGAAAUAAUGUCCCUGGCAAUCUUUACGUAAGGUCCAAAUGAUAAAUUAAUGCUUUAUAACUGGACUUUUUAGGCUUGCUGCAGAACUCCCUAGCAGGAAUACAGGUCUGGAUGAAAAGAACAAGUAAUAAUUCUUGAUAAAAUUCUGCAGACUACUUAUAAUUUCUGUGGGACUCUUUUUCUAUAAAAUUCUGGCUUCUUUUUUGUAUUAUGUGAGAUUUUUCCAUAAAUUAAUUACAAUUUUUAUAUUUCUUUUAAUUUUUUUACUGUUCUUUUUUUUUUUGUUCACAGACAUACAUACACCUUGGAGGGUAAGUGCGAGGGAUUUCACAGGAAAUGAAGGGGGUUUGUGAUGAAGGCAGUGGCCUGAAGCUCCGGAGAUCUGGACUCAGUGCCUGGCUCUGUACCAGGCCGUUUGUGUGAGCCAGGGCAGGCAGGCAGCAGCUGGCACCCAGGCGCGGCCCCGCGGGCGUGGGGAGCAGACAGGACGUGUUGGACAUGGAGCGUGGCUCUGGGCCGGGCUCAGUAGCUCCACGCUACCCCCCCCGAGCUAGGUGGGAGACGCAGCAGCAGCAGGAGCCCACCCGACCCGUCAGACCACAGCUGGUGCUUACCCAGCUUUAGGCAGCCUCACCAGCAUCCCACGGACCUGCCCCAGCUCCUGUUUAGCUGGUGGGCAGACCCACAGCUCCUCGUGCAGGUGUCACCCCCCAGCACUCGCAGGCCCCACGCAGCAGCUCCCACCCACCCUCGGUAGAGUGUGGGGGCCCUUUUACCUCUGCCCCUUCCCCAGGGAUGCGUCCCAACCACGGCGAUGUUCCAGUCACUCUCUCGUAGCCUUUCCCAACGCUCCAGCGACACCCUUAUCCCAAAGCCCGUCCCAUUGCAGCUCCCGGGUUACUCCUCCAGAUAACGCCUGUGUAAAUGGAGGCAGCCGCAGAUCACUCUUUUAUAGGGGUUAGGACUGUCAGAGGUUCAGUGUUUGCCCCCUCUUUGGCAGAGGCAAUAGAUGGAAGAGGAGGUAGAGUCAAGCAAAGGAGGCAACAAAAACAGGUGCUCAACGAGGACAGAAACAUUUAGUGAAUCGGGUCCAAGAGACAUUUCACCAUGCUCAAGGCAGAUGUUAUCAAGAAGGAUCAUUUGUAUUGGCAGUCCUUCAAAGGUUACCCUCUAACCAUGCUCAAAUCAGGGAUUUUGUCUGGCUGCCUGACAGAAGGCUGCGAAGAACAGCCCCAGCUCUCGGUCUGCCGCACGCCAGUGCGGAGCCCAGGCUGUCGCUACCCCGGUGUCCCAGGGAAGAUGCUGACAAGCUGCACCACCUUCGCUUCUGAAAAUUGCCAGAGUCAAAGGGAGGAUAUUAAUGAAGUUUGGCAUCGUGGUUACAGUUGUACUUUUUCUGAGGCCAAAAGAAUAGAAUCAAAACCAUGAGCUAAAAGAUGCACCGAGAUACUCACAGUCACUGGAACAUCGUCACCGUUCAGCAAUGUGCUUUGAUAAAGUUUUGCCCGUUGCUCCUUGUCUUGCCACAGUCCUGUCACUGCAGAGGCGUCCGGCUCAUUCUUCUUUACUCCUCACCACAACCAUCAGGAGGCAGCAGCAGACUCCAGCGCUUCCUCUCGGUACUCUGUUCCUAUAUAUAUUGCUGCGUGGCAUGGAUAUGCUUACAUGGUCAUGUGGGAAAAGGAUCGUGUCACUUGAGAAAAUGUGUAGGAGUGAAUUAUUCUCAAACAGAGACAAGAGAGUCCACAGCAGUUCACAGUUGAGCAAAGCUGGCAGGUUUUAGCAGAAAAAAAAUUGCCUGAGUUGCAUACGGUCUCUUACGCUACGUGCAGUAACAACAGAAGGGGUCUUGGGUCCCAAAAAUGCCCAAUAUUUUGAUUCAGCCAUAAAUUAAAGGCAGAUUUUACAGAUAGGAGUCUCACUCUUACACGUAAAUAGCGGCUCAAUACUGUUUCCAGCCCUUCUCCAGACUUGAGCGAGACUCUGAUCUCGGUUCCGCAAGUCCAGGGGCUUCGCUCUCCCCAUGGUUCCUUCAUGCCAAGGAGGAUGCGCUGGCAGCUGGGGAGCCUGCUCGCUGGGAUUUGGGCUGGUCCUGUGUAGCUGGUGCCGUUGUUCUCAUUCCACAGCAGAAGCCGCAGGGGAGGAAAGGGGCAACUCUUUCUCCCCUCCUGAAAGCAGAAGUGUGAGACUUGUUUCUGUGGUGGUCACUAUAUCUUGAGCAAAUGAAGGAACCGAAACCUUCUCGGAAGUCAUUAUAAAGCCUAGUAGGAAGUGCUGCAAUGCUGCUCAUAUAGUCAGCUUUCAGGAGAGCCCUUACUGUCAGACGUGAUAUGCUUCAAUUAGAAACUCAGCUUAGCAAGAAAAGCGCUCUUUAGACUGCAGGGCUGGUUCCCACAACUUAUCAGGGUGGCUCCUGUGGCUAGGUUUUACCCAGGCACACAAGAAGUAACAUAAACUCUUGCUUCACAUGCUAAUACUGCAAGGAUGGCAACUCAGAAGACAAGGAGAGUGGUGUGAUAACAGGGAAGGAUUGUCCAGCUUUUAUGGUCAGGCCUGGAACAGGGGCAGAAGCCCUAGGUGCUCUUAGGAGAUGCUCAAUAUUUUUCUUCUUAGGUCCCCAUUCCUUUCCCAGAGCCUGCAGAACCACUGAUAUAUAAUUUCCAUACGUAGCCUCCCCGAUGACAUUCAGUAACAGGGAUAAAAUGGAAGGGCGGAGGGGAAGCGCACAGCAUCCAGGAUCAUUGCAUGGUAGCAACUGGACACAACCUGGUGUGAGAGCUGCUUCUAAAUAAGCAAGAGCUGAUGUCCAAAAACCAGAAGUGUUUUGUUGAAGCCUGAAUGACUUCUAUGUCUGUCUGACCACCUCCCUGAGUAGCUGCUAGCUUUUUCUUUCAGUUUCUUUUGUGAUGUCGCAGAAGGGAGAUUUCAACGCUGCUGUCAGUUCCAGCCAUUUCUCAAGAUGCUGGGCAACAGUCAGGCCUCAUGUAGUCAAAUCUGUAAAAGCUAAUUCUCAACUGGGCUUUCUCUGUACUUGCAUAAUUUCUUGCCGCUGUUCAUUAGAGGCUUCCUGAUGUUUGUCUCAUUUUAAGAAAAUAAUCCAAGCCAGCCUAUGCAUAGAAACUCCAGAAAUCUCCGUGUCUUCCAAUGGCCUUGAGACUCAGUUCCUUUAGUUCUGCUGUGGGCUGCAGCAAAAUAAAUUGACCUCUGAAGGGAAGCAAAAUGGAGCUUGAUUUAUUUGGUCAGGGUUCAACCUUACCUGUAGCACAAUGCAGCCCUUCUCUCCGGGGCUGACUAAUAUCCACAUAAUAACAAGUGGCCUUUGCAGAGCAAGCUGAGCAGCAGCGCAGUGGCAACAGCAAGUCUUGACAGGGCUUGCUAACAAGCAAAGAGGGAGAAACAUUGGAAAUGCAGUUCGUGGCAAAAGAAGAGCUGCAAGAGAUCAGAGGAAAAGGAGACGAAAAUGAUCAGAAACACUUGAAAAUUGUACAGAUGUUAUGACAAGAGCUAUAAAAAGGAAGGCAAGGAAGGGAAAAGGCAGCAUGAAAAAACCAGCAAGUUAGCAAAGGGCGGACUGAAUUAGCUGUGUACACACAGCGGCUGCCAGAGGAAGAAAGGAGCAGAAUGCAAUGUUCUUUCUGGCCAGAGUCAGUCCAGCAUGGUAUUGCAGCAGCACACACGGAUAAAAAAUCUGGACUAGAUCCAGUAGCUGAAAAGAGAAUACAACGUGAUGGAAGCAGGAAUCCUUUUUAUAGCCAAGCUACCGUAAGGUCAGCAACUAGAUCUCUCUGUGAUCCAAUAAUUGUUAUCUGCGGAAAAUAGCCCAAGAUAAAUCUCCAUUACCUGAAGCAUAAGUGAUUCAUUGGGCUUUGGGAGAGAUGGUCAGUUCCUGAGACCAGCCUGGGGAAGCCGCGAGGUGUUUUAUUUAUAGUCAAAUAAUUCGAUUCACAAUGUUUGAAUUGUAAUUAAAGAUAAACAUUUCUCAUGGCUUCAGCAAAACUUACAACUAAUGUCAUAGUCUGUUACAGACAGUAUGGCAAACAUUUGUCAGUUUUUCCAAACAUCCUGGAACAAAAUUUAUUCAGCAAUAAUGAGAAACUUACUAAGAAAUGGACUUGUGAAAAGCAAUUGGACAUGCCACCAGUAAAAUUUCAAGCAAAGUUACAAUCUAUAAAUACUUCUCCAUUGCUAACGUGCUGAAGGUAAGAAUCAAAAUGCCAACAGUAAUUUAUUUUUUGAAAAAAAAAAUCCACUGGGCUGAAAGGCAAGAAAAAAAAUUUGCACGACUAAUUUUAGGAAUCCUGCAUUACUUUUUAAGAACCGGGCUCUCUGGCCACGGCUGAACGUUAGAGCAAGGUGCGUUCUCUACUGCAGCA